rnacentral:rRNA from 1 species
AUUGAACGCUGGCGGCAGGCCUAACACAUGCAAGUCGAACGGCAGCACAGAAGAGCUUGCUCUCUGGGUGGCGAGUGGCGGACGGGUGAGUAAUGUCUGGGAAACUGCCCGAUGGAGGGGGAUAACUACUGGAAACGGUAGCUAAUACCGCAUAACGUCGCAAGACCAAAGUGGGGGACCUUCGGGCCUCACACCAUCGGAUGUGCCCAGAUGGGAUUAGCUAGUAGGUGGGGUAAUGGCUCACCUAAGCGACGAUCCCUAGCUGGUCUGAGAGGAUGACCAGCCACACUGGAACUGAGACACGGUCCAGACUCCUACGGGAGGCAGCAGUGGGGAAUAUUGCACAAUGGGCGCAAGCCUGAUGCAGCCAUGCCGCGUGUAUGAAGAAGGCCUUCGGGUUGUAAAGUACUUUCAGCGGGGAGGAAGGCGGUGAGGUUAAUAACCUUGCCGAUUGACGUUACCCGCAGAAGAAGCACCGGCUAACUCCGUGCCAGCAGCCGCCGUAA